rnacentral:rRNA from 1 species
CGACCGCUGGCGGCGUGCCUAAUACAUGCAAGUAGAACGCUGAAGGAGGAGCUUGCUUCUCUGGAUGAGUUGCGAACGGGUGAGUAACGCGUAGGUAACCUGCCUGGUAGCGGGGGAUAACUAUUGGAAACGAUAGCUAAUACCGCAUAAUAGCAGUUAUUGCAUGAUAACUGUUUGAAAGGUGCAAUUGCACCACUACCAGAUGGACCUGCGUUGUAUUAGCUAGUUGGUGGGGUAACGGCUCACCAAGGCGACGAUACAUAGCCGACCUGAGAGGGUGAUCGGCCACACUGGGACUGAGACACGGCCCAGACUCCUACGGGAGGCAGCAGUAGGGAAUCUUCGGCAAUGGACGGAAGUCUGACCGAGCAACGCCGCGUGAGUGAAGAAGGUUUUCGGAUCGUAAAGCUCUGUUGUAAGAGAAGAACGAGUGUGAGAGUGGAAAGUUCACACUGUGACGGUAUCUUACCAGAAAGGGACGGCUAACUACGUG